GACGAACGCUGGCGGCGUGCUUAACACAUGCAAGUCGAACGGUAAGGCCCUUCGGGGUACACGAGUGGCGAACGGGUGAGUAGCACGGGGGUGAUCUGCCCUGCACUUCGGGAUAAGCCUGGGAAACUGGGUCUAAUACCGGAUAGGACUCCGGACUGCAUGGUCUGGGGUGGAAAGCUUUUGCGGUGUGGGAUGGGUCCGCGGCCUAGCAGCUUGUUGGUGGGGUGAUGGCCUACGAAGGCGACGACGGGUAGCCGGCCUGAGAGGGUGACCGGCCACACUGGGACUGAGAUACGGCCCAGACUCCUACGGGAGGCAGCAGUGGGGAAUAUUGCACAAUGGGCGCAAGCCUGAUGCAGCGACGCCGCGUGAGGGAUGACGGCCUUCGGGUUGUAAACCUCUUUCAGCAUCGACGAAGCGAAAGUGACGGUAGGUGCAGAAGAAGGACCGGCCAACUACGUGCCAGCCGCCGCGGUAA
rnacentral:rRNA from 1 species